rnacentral:rRNA from 1 species
GGCUUAGAAGCAGCCAUCAUUUAAAGAAAGCGUAAUAGCUCACUGGUCGAGUCGGCCUGCGCGGAAGAUGUAACGGGGCUAAACCAUGCACCGAAGCUGCGGCAGCGACACUGUGUGUUGUUGGGUAGGGGAGCGUUCUGUAAGCCUGCGAAGGUGGCCUGUGAGGGUUGCUGGAGGUAUCAGAAGUGCGAAUGCUGACAUAAGUAACGAUAAAGCGGGUGAAAAGCCCGCUCGCCGGAAGACCAAGGGUUCCUGUCCAACGUUAAUCGGGGCAGGGUGAGUCGACCCCUAAGGCGAGGCCGAAAGGCGUAGUCGAUGGGAAACGGGUUAAUAUUCCCGUACUUGGUGUUACUGCGAAGGGGGGACGGAGAAGGCUAUGUUGGCCGGGCGACGGUUGUCCCGGUUUAAGCGUGUAGGUGUGUGUUCCAGGUAAAUCCGGUUCACUUUAACACUGAGGCGUGACGACGAGGCACUACGGUGCUGAAGCAACAAAUGCCCUGCUUCCAGGAAAAGCCUCUAAGCAUCAGGUAACAUCAAAUCGUACCCCAAACCGACACAGGUGGUCAGGUAGAGAAUACCAAGGCGCUUGAGAGAACUCGGGUGAAGGAACUAGGCAAAAUGGUGCCGUAACUUCGGGAGAAGGCACGCUGACACGUAGGUGAAGUGAUUUACUCAUGGAGCUGAAGUCAGUCGAAGAUACCAGCUGGCUGCAACUGUUUAUUAAAAACACAGCACUGUGCAAACACGAAAGUGGACGUAUACGGUGUGACGCCUGCCCGGUGCCGGAAGGUUAAUUGAUGGGGUCAGCGCAAGCGAAGCUCCUGAUCGAAGCCCCGGUAAACGGCGGCCGUAACUAUAACGGUCCUAAGGUAGCGAAAUUCCUUGUCGGGUAAGUUCCGACCUGCACGAAUGGCGUAAUGAUGGCCAGGCUGUCUCCACCCGAGACUCAGUGAAAUUGAACUCGCUGUGAAGAUGCAGUGUACCCGCGGCAAGACGGAAAGACCCCGUGAACCUUUACUAUAGCUUGACACUGAACAUUGAGCCUUGAUGUGUAGGAUAGGUGGGAGGCUUUGAAGUGUGGACGCCAGUCUGCAUGGAGCCGACCUUGAAAUACCACCCUUUAAUGUUUGAUGUUCUAACGUGGACCCGUUACCCGGGUUGCGGACAGUGUCUGGUGGGUAGUUUGACUGGGGCGGUCUCCUCCUAAAGAGUAACGGAGGAGCACGAAGGUUGGCUAAUCCUGGUCGGACAUCAGGAGGUUAGUGCAAUGGCAUAAGCCAGCUUGACUGCGAGCGUGACGGCGCGAGCAGGUGCGAAAGCAGGUCAUAGUGAUCCGGUGGUUCUGAAUGGAAGGGCCAUCGCUCAACGGAUAAAAGGUACUCCGGGGAUAACAGGCUGAUACCGCCCAAGAGUUCAUAUCGACGGCGGUGUUUGGCACCUCGAUGUCGGCUCAUCACAUCCUGGGGCUGAAGUAGGUCCCAAGGGUAUGGCUGUUCGCCAUUUAAAGUGGUACGCGAGCUGGGUUUAGAACGUCGUGAGACAGUUCGGUCCCUAUCUGCCGUGGGCGCUGGAGAACUGAGGGGGGCUGCUCCUAGUACGAGAGGACCGGAGUGGACGCAUCACUGGUGUUCGGGUUGUCAUGCCAAUGGCACUGCCCGGUAGCUAAAUGCGGAAGAGAUAAGUGCUGAAAGCAUCUAAGCACGAAACUUGCCCCGAG